UGAAACAUUUAAGACAUCUUGGGUGCC
rnacentral:piRNA from 1 species